rnacentral:rRNA from 1 species
UACGGGGGGGGCAAGCGUUGUUCGGAAUUACUGGGCGUAAAGGGCUCGUAGGCGGCCAACUAAGUCAGACGUGAAAUCCCUCGGCUUAACCGGGGAACUGCAUCUGAUACUGGAUGGCUUGAGUUCGGGAGAGGGAUGCGGAAUUCCAGGUGUAGCGGUGAAAUGCGUAGAUAUCGGGAGGAACACCAAUGGCGAAGGCAGCUCGCUGGGACGUUACUGACGCUGAGACGCGAAAGCGUGGGGAGCAAACAGG